GGAAUCGCUUUUCAGACAGGGACCAUCACAACACCAAGGGAGGUAAUGGCCAGCAGCGAGUAGGGAGCAGUGAUUUUGUUGGCUAGUUGGUGCCUGCCCUGCCUGCAGCACCGGGCUGGGAGCCCAGCUCGCCCUGGCCCAGCAGGGGGCAAUCCCAGCAAAGAGCUCAGGAAAUCAGUGCUGUUGCUGGGGUGCAAUUCCUCUGCAAAAAGGAAAGGUUGAAAAAGUAAUAGAGCCACAGCCAGGCAGCUGCUUGCAGCUCCCCGUGACCCUUGCUGCCUGCCCCAGCCCUGUGGGUGAGUGUGGGGUGGGAGCUGGGAGCAAGGAACGUGGGGGAAUGGCCCUCUUUCUAUGCAUUGAGGUCAGCUUGUGACCUCAGGAGCUCUGCUCCAUUUCCAGAGGUUCCUUCCAAAGAUCUGUAAGGGUUAGGAGGGUCAAUGGGAUCAAGCGCCGCUGGAAAGAAGAGUCCUGAAAAGCAACCAGAUUCUGCAGACAUGGGGAUAUGGAAGGGACUCAUCCUGGGAGGAACAACCCAUCACCUCUGGCACCGCGCUGCAGCCUCCAGCGGGACUCUGCGCCGGGAUUGCUGGGGAUGCCGGCACAGAGGAAAGAUUUGCAUUCCCUCUGCUUGCCCUUGCCACGACUCAAUAAGAGAAACCCAGGGUAGGGAAGGUGCCUGCCUCCAGCGCUCUGCCUCCCACCACCUGAUCUCCCAGCCAUUCAGUCCCUCACUCUGCUUACCAGGCAGCAGCAGGCGAGAGCCAGCCAGCUCCAGCCCAGAGGGAACAGCCUGGCCGAGACAAAGUGAGUACCGUGAUUUAAAUGGAGAAAGUCGGGCAGUUGUCAACGGGAAGGAAAUUACUUGGAAUCUAAACCUAACUAAAAGAAGCUACCCAGAUUACUGACACUGUAAAUUGGAUUAAAAUUAAGUCCAACAAGAAAAUCAAUGGAAAGUGAUAAGGAAGUAAGUCAAAAUGACAGCAGAAUGAGACGGACGUUGUC
rnacentral:lncRNA from 1 species